rnacentral:rRNA from 1 species
CACGCAGGCGGAUUGAUAAGUCGGGGGUGAAAUCCCGGGGCUCAACCUCGGAAUUGCCUUCGAUACUGUCUGUCUUGAGUCCGGGAGAGGUGAGUGGAAUUCCUAGUGUAGAGGUGAAAUUCGUAGAUAUUAGGAAGAACACCAGUGGCGAAGGCGGCUCACUGGCCCGGUACUGACGCUCAUGUGCGAAAGCGUGGGGAGCAAACA